rnacentral:sRNA from 1 species
UCAUACAAUGGUGUUAUCAAAGUUGCU